UACGGGGGGGGCAAGCGUUGUUCGGAAUUACUGGGCGUAAAGGGCUCGUAGGCGGCCAACUAAGUCAGACGUGAAAUCCCUCGGCUUAACCGGGGAACUGCGUCUGAUACUGGAUGGCUUGAGGUUGGGAGAGGGAUGCGGAAUUCCAGGUGUAGCGGUGAAAUGCGUAGAGAUCGGGAGGAACAUCAGUUGCGAAGGCGGCUCUCUGGACCAGCACUGACACUGAGGCACGAAAGCGUGGGGAGCAAACAGG
rnacentral:rRNA from 1 species